CCUACGGGAGGCAGCAGUGAGGAAUAUUGGUCAAUGGACGGAAGUCUGAACCAGCCAUGCCGCGUGCAGGAUGACGGCUCUAUGAGUUGUAAACUGCUUUUGUACAAGGGUAAACCUGAAUACGUGUAUUCAGCUGAAAGUACUGUACGAAUAAGGAUCGGCUAACUCCGUGCCAGCAGCCGCGGUAAUACGGAGGAUCCAAGCGUUAUCCGGAUUUAUUGGGUUUAAAGGGUGCGUAGGCGGAUUGUUAAGUUAGUUGUGAAAUGUCCGGGCUUAACCCGGGAAUUGCCUCUAAUACUGUUGGUCUUGAGUGUAGGAGAGGUAGGCGGAAUGUAUGGUGUAGCGGUGAAAUGCUUAGAGAUCAUACAGAACUCCGAUUGCGAAGGCAGCUUACCAAUCUAUAUCUGACGUUGAGGCACGAAAGCGUGGGGAGCAAACAGGAUUAGAUACCCUGGUAGUC
rnacentral:rRNA from 1 species